rnacentral:rRNA from 1 species
GCAACCCCAGGUGAGGCCGGAUUACCCGCUGAGUUUAAGCAUA